AGCGAACGCUGGCGGCAGGCCUAACACAUGCAAGUCGAACGAACCUUUCGGGGUUAGUGGCGGACGGGUGAGUAACACGUGGGAACGUGCCUUUAGGUUCGGAAUAACUUCGGGAAACUUGUGCUAAUACCGAAUGUGCCCUUCGGGGGAAAGAUUAAUCGCCUUUAGAGCGGCCCGCGUCUGGUUAGCUAGUUGGUUGAGGUAAUGGCUCACAAAGGCGACGAUCAGUAGCUGGUCUGAGAGGGUGAUCAGCCACAUUGGGACUGAGACACGGCCCAAACUCCAACGGGAGGCAGCAGUGGGGAAUCUUGCGCAAUGGGCGAAAGCCGGACGCAUCCAUGCCGCGUGAAGGAUGAAGGUCUUAGGAUUGGAAAAUUCUUUCACCGGGGACGAUAAUGACGGUACCCGGAGAAGAGGCCCCGGCUAACUUCGUG
rnacentral:rRNA from 1 species